CCUACGGGAGGCAGCAGUGAGGAAUAUUGGUCAAUGGACGAGAGUCUGAACCAGCCAAGUAGCGUGAAGGAUGACUGCCCUAUGGGUUGUAAACUUCUUUUAUAUGGGAAUAAAAUGUUCCACGUGUGGGAUUUUGUAUGUACCAUAUGAAUAAGGAUCGGCUAACUCCGUGCCAGCAGCCGCGGUAAUACGGAGGAUCCGAGCGUUAUCCGGAUUUAUUGGGUUUAAAGGGAGCGUAGGUGGAUUGUUAAGUCAGUUGUGAAAGUUUGCGGCUCAACCGUAAAAUUGCAGUUGAAACUGGCAGUCUUGAGUACAGUAGAGGUGGGCGGAAUUCGUGGUGUAGCGGUGAAAUGCUUAGAUAUCACGAAGAACUCCGAUUGCGAAGGCAGUUCACUGGACUGCAACUGACACUGAGGCUCGAAAGCGUGGGUAUCAAACAGGAUUAGAUACCCGAGUAGUC
rnacentral:rRNA from 1 species